UACAGAGGGUGCGAGCGUUGUCCGGAAUCACUGGGCGUAAAGGGCGCGUAGGCGGCUCGGUAAGUUUGCGGUGAAAGCCCGGGGCUCAACCCCGGGUCGGCCGUGGCAACUGCUGGGCUGGAGCACUGUAGAGGCAGGUGGAAUUCCGGGUGUAGCGGUGGAAUGCGUAGAGAUCCGGAAGAACACCGGUGGCGAAGGCGGCCUGCUGGGCAGUAGCUGACGCUGAUGCGCGAAAGCGUGGGGAGCAAACAGG
rnacentral:rRNA from 1 species